GGGAACUGCUUGAGCAGCUCUGUCUUCUGCCGCUUGUAGUCGUCGGUGGCCGAGCGCCAGUGCGGCUCCUCCAGCACCUCGAAGAUCGCCGCGCCGAUGGACAGGUAGAAGAUGAUGGCCGAGAACAAAUUACAGGGCAUAUUUUCAUGCUGCUGUCCAAGUGAGUAUGGCAAGAAAGAAUUUGUUUUCUACAGCUGGCCUCUCUUUGCACCUCCUGAUUUAAAGUGCCUCUCCUGACCUCAUAAAAGUUCCCAUAUCCUUUCAUUCAUGGCCCUUUUCUACCCUCUGUUUCCCUUGGAUUAAACAGUACCCCUAUUGUUAACCCACAGCACCUGCCACAUAGGCCCCUCAGCUUUUCAUGCUAGCUGAAUUAAUGAAAAAGCUGGGGUUAUUCACUCAAAGGCUUUAAAAUCCCAUUAAAAAAUCAGGAGAGAAACAGCAGAUAGCACUGUGAUGAGCAAUACCACAAGUAUCAAUCAUUUGUAUUAUUUGCAUAGGUCAUUAUUUCAGGCUUUCCAGUCCAAAAGGAAAUCUCUUUCAGCCAAGCCGUAUGCCUAAGACACAUUUGCUGUACAGAUGUUUCCUAGAACAGUCUGAAAUGAAUGAAUAAAUGUCAGAAAAUGUUUUAGAUGGAGCAAAUAGAAGACAUUAUUUGUCCAAAGGAAACCUGUCAUGUAGUGGCAAAGGGUGCAUAUUGUACUGAGUGUGAGCUAUGAGAAACAAUUAGAUCUCUUCAAGCCUGUGCCAUUUUUCACUUGGAAGUCUAUUUUUGGCUGGCUGAUGGUUGUGAUCUAGAUGAUGCCUGUCAACUCUGCAUCUUCCACUUUUCUUUAUCUAUCCAAAUUCUGGCCUCUCCAACAUUCCUUUCAAAUGUUAUUAUAUAUCUAGCCAUAGUUUUGAGUAAGCUGAUGGGUGUAUUAGCGUGAUUAGCAUUUUUCCUUCUUUAGUAUAGUGCAGUGUGUAUAGCAAGGAUAAGGCUGGUCUGCACAGGGUACAGAAUUUUCUCUGAGCUAUUUGUUGAAAGUUCAAGAAUUUUCCAUACGAUCAUUCACACCUCUUGGCCUAAGUAUUUACACAUGGCACAUUUUGUGCCCUUGCGUUUUCUACCAUCAAUCUAUGAUAACAUAUGUACUAAAGAAAAAAACCCAACAAGAAUAAAACCCCUACCAAAUCAACCUACACACCACUGCAACAUGCUUCUUCACCCAUGGGCAAAUAAUGAGUGAACAAACACCACAUGACAGAUGUUAGUCAUGCUGCUUAAUGAAUAACUGGUGAUGAGUACAAUACCUGCAUGGAAUGGCUGUAAUCUGUUCAUGGAGAAAUAUGCAUUUGGACCAUCUGUUUUUCAUUGGGAUGUUUGCAGUGUUCAAGAGAAAUGUCUCCAUCAGAGAGUCCAGAUAUGUCAACGUUUGUGUGUGUAUUUCCUUGACUUCCUUGUUCCUCAGCCACCCACAGCAGUCACUGGAUCUUCAGAAUCGGAUGGUGAGGUCCUGUUUCCUUCAAAAUAAUUCACAGAGAAAGACUCUGGCCUUCUCUUUCUGCUUCACCAUGGCCUGAAUCUUGCAGGCGAACAUGGUUGGUACCAAAUAUUUAUUAUGGUCCUUGUUAUUGACAUUCACCUGGGCAGCCCAGAGUAGUGCUGCGCAACACUCCCCCAGACUGGGCAGUAUCAGUCCUGGAGUGAAUUUCACCAUCACAAUACCUGGAGCAUGUUACUAUUCUAGAUAGGACGAUCAAGGCCAGCUGAGCACCACGGAAACAGAAUCAGUGAAUAAUGAAAAAAAUCUGCCAUUUUGUUAUGUGAAACAUCAUUGCCAAAUCUUAUUUUUGUGUAAUUAAGAAGGAAUGAUAUUCUAUUUGUUUAUAAUAAUAUGAAUGAGUGUCUGCA